GCAGAAGUGGUUGAGGCCAUGAAGUCUUUUGCUGAGCUCACAGAUCAUGACAGAUUUGUGUGAGAUGUUUGGAGGCUCACAGGUUCAGUGGCAAUAGUGCCCCUGGUGCGAUAGCAAAGGCACAACAUCAGUGGAUGGGUUGCACUGCAGGGAAUGGACUGGAGCAGGCUGGCACAGUUGAUGGGAAACCACUAAUACUGGAACGAUCUCUGUCCCAUUGGUCUGUGUACACAGAAGACUGUUUGGGACCAGGUAAUCUCAAGAUGGUGCAAAUGGCAAGACAGGCACAGUAUAGAGUUACAAUUUUCAAGAUUAUCUAAUAUUUUCCUACUAUGUUUCUUUGUACUUUUUUAUUUAUCAUUUGUUGUGUUUGCUUACAUUGCUUGUCAAUGCAGUCUGGUUCAUCUGCGAAACUGCCCAGCAAUGGUGGUGCUGUGGUGGGCUUGUAUCUGGAUCAAGGAAGACUGAUAAGACCUAUACUUUCACAUCUUAAACAAAACUGUAUACUGUGUACGCAGUGAAAUCAAUGUAAAAGAGCUGAAUUGUUUGUCAUACUUUGGUCACUUUAUUUUGAUAGUCCCGCAUAAAUGGUUAAUUGAUGCUCAAACUAUCAACUGCAACUCUGUUAUAUAACUUGACUUAACUUGAAACACCACAGCUUCCUACGGUUAGAGCUAAAGUUUGUUGAUAGUACUUGAGCAUCUAUAAACGGGUCCAUCUGUCGGCUCUAUUAUAGAGGACUAUCCAAAUCCAGUGUUACCCAUACAGUAGUAAUGUUGUGCAUGUCUUUGCUUUCACACUAGGUGGAGAUGAGGAAAGCGUUUUGUGUGAUUGUACCACAUAACCCAUCUGGUACCAUUGCAACCAACAGCCAAGUAUGAUUUUAAAUGAUCUAUAAUGGACAUCAUUAUAAUCAAUCAAAUAUCAAAUCUGGAGCUAAGAUAACACAGCAUUAUAUUUUUCUAUUCAUGUGGGCAGAUUUGUAGCCCAUGAUAUCCUGUAUGAAUGGUAUAUGAUGAGACAGUUGUGAAAUGAAUGUGCCAGGGAUAUGGUUUGUGAGUCAUUUUAUAAAUGUAACACAUUGUCUUUUUAUGAACACUGAAUAAA